UACAGAGGUCUCAAGCGUUGUUCGGAUUCAUUGGGCGUAAAGGGUGCGUAGGCGGCGCGGUAAGUCGGGUGUGAAAUCUCGGAGCUUAACUCCGAAACUGCAUUCGAUACUGCCGUGCUUGAGGACUGGAGAGGAGACUGGAAUUUACGGUGUAGCGGUGAAAUGCGUAGAUAUCGUAAGGAAGACCAGGUGGCGAAGGCGGGUCUCUGGACAGUUCCUGACGCUGAGGCACGAAGGUCAGGGGAGCAAAACGGG
rnacentral:rRNA from 1 species